rnacentral:rRNA from 1 species
AUGCAUGCAUGUUGCGCUCUUUCACUGCGCCCCGGCGUCCGGCAGGUGGCCGCUGCUACUCUCGCCGAUGCUCCUCUUCAGCUUCUGCUUGUCGGCGCGCUCCUCGGCGGCACCGGGGCCGGCGCCAUUUGCGGGCAUUGCGCUCCACACGGACGCCGUGAACAGGGGCCGCUCGUGCCACAUGAGCGAGAGGCAGCCGCCGAUCUCCUGGACGCGGAACCCGGCGCUGGAGAACAUGCGGACAAGCUUGGCCGCCUGAUAGGCUGCGCUCGGACCCAACGGCACGUGGGUGAGACCCAUCCGCCAGAGGCGAUCGCACCAGCAUGCGAGCGGCUCGUGGCGCUCGGUGCGGGCGCUGCCCUCGCCGCAGACGAUGUCGAAGAUCUCCCUCUGCACGUACGCGUCGGCGCCGGCUCCGUUGCCGAUGACGUCGCCACGGCUCACGGACAUGGCCUCCAUGGAGUCGAGCACGGAGCCAUAGUAGAACAUGGCGUUCUCGAACCGCGUCGACAACCUCGGCUUGUUGUGGUCCGCCUCCUGCUCCACGACCGUGAAAACCCUGGGCUGCAUGGACGCGAUCCAGCCGAGCACGACGUCGAUGGGCGUGGGGAGAGACGUGGACGCGGCGUCCGGGUCCACCAGGAGGCGGUGGAGCUGGCAGAUGGAGUUCACGGCCACCGCCUCUCCGGGCAGGACCUGGAACAUCCACGGCUUGAGCUGGUCCAGGCUAUCCUCGGUGACCCUUUGAAACGAGAAGGGCACAUUCAUGGCACGCGCGAGCUCGGCGAGGCGGAGGCCAGCUUCGUCGACGGCGGGCGCGGAGCCGACGCCGGUGAUGCGGACGGACGGCGGGCCGCCGGGGCGGCCGGAGAGGGCCUGGAUCAGGGCUGGCCACUGCACGCCCUGCUUGAUGGCGAGAUCCACGACGUGCACGCGAUCGCAGCCCUCAAACGCCUCGAGGAUGGCCUGGUUGGCCGUGUAGUGUGCGAACUUGAGGUACGGCCCCGCAUCGUAGAACUGACGGUAGAGCUCGCCGGCGCGCUCCGGUGA